GAUGAACGCUGGCGGCGUGCCUAAUACAUGCAAGUCGAGCGAACAGACGAGGAGCUUGCUCCUCUGACGAUAGCGGCGGACGGGUGAGUAACACGUGGAUAACCUACCUAUAAGACUGGGAUAACUUCGGGAAGCCGGAGCUAAUACCGGAUAAUAUAUUGAACCGCAUGGUUCAAUAGUGAAAGACGGUUUUGCUGUCACUUAUAGAUGGAUCCGCGCCGCAUUAGCUAGUUGGUAAGGUAACGGCUUACCAAGGCGACGAUGCGUAGCCGACCUGAGAGGGUGAUCGGCCACACUGGAACUGAGACACGGUCCAGACUCCUACGGGAGGCAGCAGUAGGGAAUCUUCCGCAAUGGGCGAAAGCCUGACGGAGCAACGCCGCGUGAGUGAUGAAGGUCUUCGGAUCGUAAAACUCUGUUAUUAGGGAAGAACAAAUGUGUAAGUAACUAUGCACGUCUUGACGGUACCUAAUCAGAAAGCCACGGCUAACUACGUG
rnacentral:rRNA from 1 species